rnacentral:rRNA from 1 species
UUUAUGGAGAGUUUGAUCCUGGCUCAGGAUAAACGCUGGCGGCAUGCCUAAUACAUGCAAGUCGAACGCUCUCGAUCUUCGGAUCAAUGAGAGAGUGGCGAACGGGUGAGUAACACGUAAGAAACCUGCCCCAAAGUUGAGGAUAACCAUUGGAAACGAUGGCUAAUACUGAAUAGGAUAUUCUACCGCAUGGUUAAAUAUUUAAAGGUGCGUUUGCACCGCUAUGGGAUGGUCUUGCGCUGCAUUAGCUAGUUGGUAAGGUAACGGCUUACCAAGGCGACGAUGCAUAGCUGGUCUGAGAGGAUGAACAGCCACACUGGGACUGAGACACGGCCCAGACUCCUACGGGAGGCAGCAGUAGGGAAUUUUCGGCAAUGGGCGAAAGCCUGACCGAGCAAUGCCGCGUGAACGAUGAAGGCCUUCGGGUCGUAAAGUUCUGUUAUUAGGGAAGAACACUUAGGAUAGGAAAUGAUCUUAAGCUGACGGUACCUAAUCAGAAAGCUCCGGCUAACUACGUGCCAGCAGCCGCGGUAAUACGUAGGGAGCGAGCGUUAUCCGGAAUUAUUGGGCGUAAAGCGUGCGUAGGCGGUUUGUUAAGUCAAAUCUGAAAGCCCCCGGCUUAACCGGGGAGGGUGAUUUGAAACUGGCAGACUUGAGUACGGCAGAGGUUAGUGGAAUUCAAUGUGUAGCGGUGGAAUGCGUAGAUAUAUUGAGGAACACCAGUGGCGAAGGCGGCUAACUGGACCGGAACUGACGCUGAGGCACGAAAGCGUGGGGAGCAAACAGGAUUAGAUACCCUGGUAGUCCACGCCGUAAACGAUGAGAACUAAGUGUUGGGGUUACCCAGUGCUGAAGCUAACGCAUUAAGUUCUCCGCCUGGGGAGUACGACCGCAAGGUUGAAACUCAAAGGAAUUGACGGGUCUCCGCACAAGCGGUGGAGCAUGUUGUUUAAUUCGAAGAUACGCGAAGAACCUUACCAGGUCUUGACAUCUCGAUGAUCGCUGUAGAGAUACAGUUUUCCCUCGGGACAUCGAUGACAGGUGGUGCAUGGUUGUCGUCAGCUCGUGUCGUGAGAUGUUGGGUUAAGUCCCGCAACGAGCGCAACCCCUAUUGAUAGUUGCUAACAUUAAGUUGAGGACUCUAUCGAGACUGCCAGUGAUAAACUGGAGGAAGGUGGGGAUGACGUCAAAUCAUCAUGCCCCUUAUGACCUGGGCUACAAACGUGCUACAAUGGCCGGUACAACGAGUUGCCAACCCGCGAGGGGGAGCUAACCUUUUAAAACCGGUCUCAGUUCGGAUUGAAGUCUGCAACUCGACUUCAUGAAGUUGGAAUCGCUAGUAAUCGUGGGUCAGCAUACCACGGUGAAUACGUUCUCGGAGAUUGUACACACCGCCCGUCAUACCAUGAGAGUUUGUAACACCCGAAGUGUGUGGCCUAACCUUUAUUGGAGGGAGCACCCUAAGGUGGGACAAAUGAUUGGGGUAAAGUCGUAACAAGGUAUCCCUACGGGAACGUGGGGAUGGAUCACCUCCUUUCUAGGGA